AGGACGAACGCUGGCGGCGUGCUUAACACAUGCAAGUCGAGCGGAAAGGCCCUUCGGGGUACUCGAGCGGCGAACGGGUGAGUAACACGUGAGUAAUCUGCCCCUAGCUCUGGGAUAGCUCCGGGAAACCGGGAUUAAUACCAGAUACAACCACUUUAGACAUCUCUUGUGGUGGAAAGAAUUUCGGCUAGGAUGAACUCGCGGCCUAUCAGCUUGUUGGUGAGGUAACGGCUCACCAAGGCGACG
rnacentral:rRNA from 1 species